rnacentral:rRNA from 1 species
AGCUCCAAUAGCGUAUAUUAAAGUUGUUGCGGUUAAAAAGCUCGUAGUUGGAUUUCUGUCGAGAAAGUGCGGUCUGCACUAUGUGCACGUAUCUGCAACUGUCUUGGCAUCCGGAAGUUUAAGGCGCGUUGCUUCAUUGCAAUGUCCGUAGGCUUCUCUUUUACUUUGAGGAAAUUAGAGUGUUCACGGCAGGCAAUCGCCCUGAAUACAUUAGCAUGGAAUAAUAAUAUAGGGCCGCAGCUCUAUUUUGUUGGUUUCUAGAGCUACGGUAAUGAUUAAUAGGGAUAAUUGGGGGCAUUCGUAUUAUCACGUCAGAGGUGGAAUUCUUGGAUUGUGUUACGACGAACUACUGCGAAAGCAUUUGCCAAGGAUGUUUUCA